CGUUGCAUUGCCGUGGUGCUAGCUAGUGCUAAGCUAGUCAAGUUCAACAGCCAGUAUUUUCAACUUGUGGCAGUAAGAUUCUUUCCCGAAAGAUGGUUGGAAAUGUGUAUUUGCAGUUGGACUGACCUUUUACUGUUUAGGAUUCCCCCAAUCACGCAAUACCAUCAGCGCUAGGAGGGUGAAGGAUGGUGAUAUGGCUGCAACUGAACGGGGGAUUGAGGAGACUGUUCUGGGGAUCUGUGUGACUAGAGUUGAGGGAGCUGAAGCCAUGGACCCCCUGCCAAUACUGGAGUGGUAUUAGAAGGUGGUGUGGUUCUUGGGCAGUGUGUUCCUUGCCUUUGCAGUUCGGGCUGAUUUAUGCCUUAUACAGUGU